GACGUAGGGUGCAAGCGUUGUCCGGAAUCAUUGGGCGUAAAGAGCUCGUAGGCGGCUUAGUAAGUCGGGUGUGAAACCUCCAGGCUCAACCUGGAGACGCCACCCGAUACUGCUAUAGCUAGAGUCCAGUAGGGGAGUGCGGAAUUCCCGGUGUAGCGGUGAAAUGCGCAGAUAUCGGGAGGAACACCAGCGGCGAAGGCGGCACUCUGGGCUGGUACUGACGCUCAGGAGCGAAAGCGUGGGUAGCGAACAGG
rnacentral:rRNA from 1 species